GCGCUGAAGCGGGGGUACCGGGCACACCAGCCCGGUUGAGACAGACCCUUCGAACCUGAUGCGGGCAAGGUCGGCGAUGCCGUCGACCCCAGCCGCCGUAGGGAGCUUCGCCGGUCCCGGC
rnacentral:ncRNA from 1 species